UACGUAGGGCGCAAGCGUUAUCCGGAAUUAUUGGGCGUAAAGAGCUCGUAGGCGGUUUGUCGCGUCUGCUGUGAAAGACCGGGGCUCAACUCCGGUUCUGCAGUGGGUACGGGCAGACUAGAGUGCAGUAGGGGAGACUGGAAUUCCUGGUGUAGCGGUGAAAUGCGCAGAUAUCGAGGAGGAACACCGAUGGCGAAGGCAGGUCUCUGGGCUGUAACUGACGCUGAGGAGCGAAAGCAUGGGGAGCGAACAGG
rnacentral:rRNA from 1 species